GGUAGUCCACGCCCUAAACGAUGAACACUCGCUGUUGGCGAUACACAGUCAGCGGCUAAGCGAAAGCGUUAAGUGUUCCACCUGGGGAGUACGCCCGCAAGGGUGAAACUCAAAGGAAUUGACGGGGGCCCGCACAAGCGGAGGAGCAUGUGGUUUAAUUCGAUGAUACGCGAGGAACCUUACCCGGGCUUGAAAGUUAGUGAAUGUGCCAGAGAUGGCACAGUGAGCAAUCACACGAAACUAGGUGCUGCAUGGCUGUCGUCAGCUCGUGCCGUGAGGUGUUGGGUUAAGUCCCGCAACGAGCGCAACCCCUAUGUCUAGUUGCCAGCACGUCAUGGUGGGGACUCUAGACAGACUGCCUGUGCAAACAGAGAGGAAGGAGGGGACGACGUCAAGUCAUCAUGGCCCUUACGUCCGGGGCUACACACGUGCUACAAUGGACGGUACAGAGGGCAGCUAUACAGCAAUGUAAUGCCAAUCUCAAAAAGCCGUUCACAGUUCGGAUCGGGGUCUGCAACUCGACCCCGUGAAGUUGGAUUCGCUAGUAAUCGCAUAUCAGCAAUGAUGCGGUGAAUACGUUCCCGGGCCUUGUACACACCGCCCGUCAAGCCAUGGAAGCUGGGGGUACCUAAAGUACGUAGCCGCAAGGAGCGUCCUAGGGUAAAACCGGUAACUGGGGCUAAGUCGUAACAAGGUAGCCGUACCGGAAGGUGC
rnacentral:rRNA from 1 species